rnacentral:tRNA from 1 species
UAGAAUGUGGUGUAGCGUGGUAGCACGAAGAAUUUUGAAUUCUUAGGGGUA